rnacentral:lncRNA from 1 species
CGCCACGAUUCUGUAGGACACAUGCACGGGCUUGACGUCCCUGAUAGCCAGCUCCUCCAGCCCCAGCUCGCCCCACGCCGCAGCUUCCAGCGCGUGGCCGGCGCCGUCCUUCUUCAGGCCAUCCGCCGUGACCGACGUCUCGACGGCCGUCGCCCCGCGGGCGGGGUCUCCGGGGGCGACGACGAGCGUGAAGCGCGACGGCCUGUUCGCCCCGAGCUCCUCGCUCGCCCGGUCGAUGCAGGCCGCCGCGAGCGCGCGGAGGUCGCCUGACGCGGCCCUGAAGAGCACGGUCUGGGCGUGGACGCCGUCGGCGGCGACGGAGUCGACGGGGAAGGACCUGAUGCGCUUGCAGCAGAUCUCCGGGCGCUGG